GUGAGGCUGCACCUGGCUUGUGGAAGCUCAUUACAGAGUCUUAAUGAUGCGCUGUGUUCCAUAAUUAGGAAACUUUUCAGCUCUCUGUCCAAUCUCCCUGUUUGGUUGCUGUAUUGGCUGGGGGCAGAGCAAGUACUUUUGGUUGGUUUGACAGCUUGAAUGCGAAGAGUGUCUGAGAGAUCUGUGAAGCACUCAUCGGAUGUGCCAGUGGAAGGUUCUGCAGGAGUUUACAUGAGGAUACACACAGGAUGAUAAUGGGAUAUGAGAAAGAUGUCCUGUACUCCUCUCCAGCCUGAUUGUCCCUCCACACCUGCCCUGCAUCAGCCUCGUCAGCCUUGUCCUGGUCCCAGUCUUUUCCCCCAGCCAAUCAGCUCCUUGCCUGUUCUCCUGUCUAGUCACCUGUUCCUUUUUCCCUCGUUAGAUCAGUUUGUAUUGAAGUCCCGUUGUUCUGUUCAGUCGUCGUUGGAUCAUCUGUUCUGUUUUGCUUUCUCUGCACUCCUGAGUCCUGUUCCUGAAUAAAUAUUCAUUCUUCA